rnacentral:rRNA from 1 species
UACGUAGGGGGCGAGCGUUGUCCGGAUUUACUGGGCGUAAAGCGCGUGUAGGCGGCUUCUUAAGUCGGGUGUGAAAGCCCGGGGCUCAACCCCGGGAUGCCGCCCGAGACUGGGAGGCUUGAGGUCGGAAGAGGGGAGUGGAAUUCCAGGUGUAGCGGUGAAAUGCGUAGAGAUCUGGAGGAACACCCGUGGCGAAGGCAGGUCUCUGGGCUGAUACUGACGCUCAUGCACGAAAGCGUGGGGAGCAAACAGG